ACAGCAGCAGCCGCGGUAAAACGGAGGGUGCAAGCGUUACUCGGAAUCACUGGGCGUAAAGGACGCGUAGGCGGAUUAUCAAGUCUCUUGCGAAAUCUAACGGCUUAACCGUUAAACUGCUUGGGAAACUGAUAAUCUAGAGUAAGGGAGAGGCAGAUGGAAUUCUUGGUGUAGGGGUAAAAUCCGUAGAUAUCAAGAAGAAUACCUAUUGCGAAGGCGAUCUGCUGGAACUUAACUGACGCUAAUGCGUGAAAGCGUGGGGAGCAGACAGGAUUAGAUACCCCCGUAGUCCCUGUCUCUUAUAC
rnacentral:rRNA from 1 species